GGCCGACUAGCUCAGCUGGUUAGAGCGUCGUGCUAAUACUUACUUCGGUAAUAAUUACGCGAAGGUCUUGGGUUCGAUCCCCACGUUGGCCA